rnacentral:rRNA from 1 species
UACGUAGGGUGCAAGCGUUAAUCGGAAUUACUGGGCGUAAAGCGUGCGCAGGCGGUUUUGUAAGUCUGUCGUGAAAUCCCCGGGCUCAACCUGGGAAUUGCGAUGGAUACUGCAAGGCUAGAAUCUGGCAGAGGGGGGUAGAAUUCCACGUGUAGCAGUGAAAUGCGUAGAGAUGUGGAGGAACACCGAUGGCGAAGGCAGCCCCCUGGGUCAAGAUUGACGCUCAUGCACGAAAGCGUGGGGAGCAAACAGG